GGAAAAUUACCAGUAAUACUAAAUGUCAUCAGAUUAACUUUGGUGGUGCUGGUGCUGAUUUCUCUGCUUCUUUUGAUUCUGUGUAUGAGGAAGAAGAAACUCUUCAGCUGUGAGACUGAACCAAAUGAACCUGUGGAGGCUAUAGAGAUGCAACAAAACCUCAGACAUGACUCUUCUAUUUCAAAGUAGAAGUUAUUCUAAGAUGGCACAUAGGUGUGGCGGUUAGCACUGAUGCCUCCACGCGAGAAGGUCUGGGUCCAGGUUUGAGUCCAGGUUCAGCUCUUUCUGUGUGGAGUUCACUGUUCUCCCUGUGUCUGCAUAAAUGUUUGUUUGUCUCUCUUUGUUAGUCCUCAGAUAGACCUCUGCUACCCUAAGGAUGAGAUACUAGAUACUAGAUACUAGACAAUG